rnacentral:lncRNA from 1 species
AAAAAAGAGAAAACUAUCUAGUACAUUCAUCAUUCAACAUUUACAUCAUUAGUUUACAUUUCCAUCUCCAAAAUACAUAUAUGUUCAUCUCAUGACAUAUACAACUCUCCAAAGCAACCACACCAAAUAUACAUCAUCAUCUCUCAAGUACAUAAGGUGCUCUAAUGCAAAAAGGAAAGCUGCUAACUACUAGGGCGCUAUGCCCUUACCACGAUCCUCGCCCGAUGUGCUCAAGCUCGGCCCUACAACAAAGUGGGAUGAGAACUAAUAANCAAAGGAGGCUACUAUUUAGGGCGCUAUGCCCUUAUCGCGAUUCUCGACCGCUCCGCUCGUGCUAGGCCCUACAACAAAGUGGGAUGAGAACUAAUAAUAGUUCCCAGU